rnacentral:tRNA from 1 species
GACCUUAUAGUUGAACUUACAAUAUUAAACUGCAAAUUUACAGGUGCUUUCUAAGCUAAGGUUU